rnacentral:rRNA from 1 species
GACGAACGCUGGCGGCGCGCUUAACACAUGCAAGUCGAACGGAAAGGCCUGCUUUCCCUUGUGGAUUGCGGGUACUCGAGUGGCGAACGGGUGAGUAACACGUGAGUGAUCUGCCCCCAACUUGGGUAUAAGCCUGGGAAACUGGGUCUAAUUCCCGAUAGGACUGCAGGGUGGUGCCUGUGGUGGAAAACGAUUUUCUAGUGGUUGGGGAUGAGCUUGCGGCCUAUCAGCUUGUUGGUGGGGUAAUGGCCUACCAAGGCGGCGACGGGUAGCCGGCCUGAGAGGGUGGACGGCCACAGUGGGACUGAGAUACGGCCCAGACUCCUACGGGAGGCAGCAGUGGGGAAUAUUGCACAAUGGGCGGAAGCCUGAUGCAGCGACGCCGCGUGGGGGAUGACGGCCUUCGGGUUGUAAACUCCUUUCGACCGCGAGGAAGCCACCUGGUUGGAAGGGUGGUGACGGUAGUGGUAGAAGAAGCACCGGCUAACUACGUG